AUUAAAAAUCAGGUUUGGCCAGGCGUGGUGGCUCACGCCUGUAAUCCCAGCACUUUGGGAAGCGAGGGAGAAUGAUGAAUCAUCAAAAGAAGAGAAAUCUGACUUAAAGGAAAAAUCUACAGGAAGUAAGAAGGCCAAUAGAUUUCAUCCUUAUUCAAAAGACAAGAAUUCGGGCACUGGAGAAAAGAAGGGUCCAAAUCGUAACAGAGUUUUCAUUAGCAACAUCCCAUAUGACAUGAAAUGGCAAGCUAUUAAAGAUCUAAUGAGAGAGAAAGGGUUGUGGUGUGGUUGAAUUCAAAGAUGAAGAAUUUGUAAAGAAAGCCCUAGAAACUAUGAACAAAUAUGAUCUUAGUGGAAGACCCCUUAAUAUUAAAGAGGGAGGCCUGAGGCGACGGAGAGAGAUGGGGAGCGGCUGGUCGGUGGAGCAGUCAGAACAUUUAUUGAUUAAGUUCGCUGUUUUAUUUGGGCACGGUUGAUGGUGCCCCAAAACAAUUAAAACAUCAAAGAUCACUGAUCACAGAUCACCAUAACAGAUAAUAAUGAAGAAGGUUGAGAUAUUGCAUGAAUUACCAAAAU
rnacentral:sRNA from 1 species